rnacentral:rRNA from 1 species
CCUCUCUGAACGCGCCCGAUCUCGUCUGAUCUCGGAAGCUAAGCAGGGUCGGGCCUGGUUAGUACUUGGAUGGGAGUCCGCUUGUUUUUUUUAACAUUUGUCUCCCCUCAUAUGUGAGAGUACGA